rnacentral:rRNA from 1 species
UACAGAGACUGCAAGCGUUAUUCGGAUUCACUGGGCGUAAAGGGUGCGCAGGCGGCCAAGUGUGUGAGGCGUGAAAGCCCGGGGCUUAACCCCGGAAUUGCACCUCAAACUACAUGGCUAGAGCAUUGGAGAGGGUAGCGGAAUUCACGGUGUAGCAGUGAAAUGCGUAGAUAUCGUGAGGAACACCAGAGGCGAAGGCGGCUAC